rnacentral:rRNA from 1 species
CGUACACUCCUACGGGAGGCAGCAGUGGGGAAUAUUGGACAAUGGGCGCAAGCCUGAUCCAGCCAUGCCGCGUGAGUGAUGAAGGCCCUAGGGUUGUAAAGCUCUUUCACCGGUGAAGAUAAUGACGGUAACCGGAGAAGAAGCCCCGGCUAACUUCGUGCCAGCAGCCGCGGUAAUACGAAGGGGGCUAGCGUUGUUCGGAUUUACUGGGCGUAAAGCGCACGUAGGCGGACUAUUAAGUCAGGGGUGAAAUCCCGGGGCUCAACCCCGGAACUGCCUUUGAUACUGGUAGUCUUGAGUUCGAGAGAGGUGAGUGGAAUUCCGAGUGUAGAGGUGAAAUUCGUAGAUAUUCGGAGGAACACCAGUGGCGAAGGCGGCUCACUGGCUCGAUACUGACGCUGAGGUGCGAAAGCGUGGGGAGCAAACAGGAGUAGAUACCCGUGUAGUCCCAUG